AUGAACGCAAGUGAAUUCCGAAGGAGAGGGAAGGAGAUGGUGGAUUACAUGGCCAACUACAUGGAAGGCAUUGAGGGACGCCAGGUCUACCCUGACGUGGAGCCCGGGUACCUGCGGCCGCUGAUCCCUGCCGCUGCCCCUCAGGAGCCAGACACGUUUGAGGACAUCAUCAACGACGUUGAGAAGAUAAUCAUGCCUGGGGGAAGUGCCAGUGAAGCCACCCUGGUGGCCCUGCUGGCCGCUCGGACCAAAGUGAUCCAUCGGCUGCAGGCAGCGUCCCCAGAGCUCACACAGGCCGCUAUCAUGGAGAAGCUGGUGGCUUACUCAUCCGAUCAGGCACACUCCUCAGUGGAAAGAGCUGGGUUAAUUGGUGGAGUGAAAUUAAAAGCCAUCCCCUCAGAUGGCAACUUCGCCAUGCGUGCGUCUGCCCUGCAGGAAGCCCUGGAGAGAGACAAAGCGGCUGGCCUGAUUCCUUUCUUUUCAAUUCCACAGUGUAAUGUGGAAGAACUGACAUGGCUCAAAGUUAGCACGCAGAGCAAGGUGACAGCCAAGACAUUUUGAAGGAUGCAAAAAGAGUCUGCCAGUGGAUCAAGGUGUACCUGCCAUCUUAUCCCAAAAGUCUUAUCUUUCUCCGUUGCGUUCAUCUCCACAGGCCAUACAGAUGGUUGCCACCCUGGGGACCACAACAUGCUGCUCCUUUGACAAUCUCUUAGAAGUCGGUCCUAUCUGCAACAAGGAAGACAUAUGGCUGCACGUUGAUGCAGCCUACGCAGGCAGUGCAUUCAUCUGCCCUGAGUUCCGGCACCUUCUGAAUGGAGUGGAGUUUGCAGAUUCAUUCAACUUUAAUCCCCACAAAUGGCUAUUGGUGAAUUUUGACUGUUCUGCCAUGUGGGUGAAAAAGAGAACAGACUUAACGGGAGCCUUUAGACUGGACCCCACUUACCUGAAGCACAGCCAUCAGGAUUCAGGGCUUAUCACUGACUACCGGCAUUGGCAGAUACCACUGGGCAGAAGAUUUCGCUCUUUGAAAAUGUGGUUUGUAUUUAGGAUGUAUGGAGUCAAAGGACUGCAGGCUUAUAUCCGCAAGCAUGUCCAGCUGUCCCAUGAGUUUGAGUCACUGGUGCGCCAGGAUCCCCGCUUUGAAAUCUGUGUGGAAGUCAUUCUGGGGCUUGUCUGCUUUCGGCUAAAGGGUUCCAACAAAGUGAAUGAAGCUCUUCUGCAAAGAAUAAACAGUGCCAAAAAAAUCCACUUGGUUCCAUGUCACCUCAGGGACAAGUUUGUCCUGCGCUUUGCCAUCUGUUCUCGCACGGUGGAAUCUGCCCAUGUGCAGCGGGCCUGGGAACACAUCAAAGAGCUGGCGGCCGACGUGCUGCGAGCAGAGAGGGAGUAGGAGUGAAGCCAGCUGCAGGAAUCAAAAAUUGAAGAGAGAUAUAUCUGAAAACUGGAAUAAGAAGCAAAUAAAUAUCAUCCUGCCUUCAUGGAACUCAGCUGUCUGUGGCUUCCCAUGUCUUUCUCCAAAGUUAUCCAGAGGGUUGUGAUUUUGUCUGCUUAGUAUCUCAUCAACAAAGAAAUAUUAUUUGCUAAUUAAAAAGUUAAUCUUCAUGGCCAUAGCUUUUAUUCAUUAGCUGUGAUUUUUGUUGAUUAAAACAUUAUAGAUUUUCAUGUUCUUGCAGUCAUCAGAAGUGGUAGGAAAGCCUCACUGAUAUAUUUUCCAGGGCAAUCAAUGUUCACGCAACUUGAAAUUAUAUCUGUGGUCUUCAAAUUGUCUUUUGUCAUGUGGCUAAAUGCCUAAUAAACAAUUCAAGUGAAAUACUAA
rnacentral:misc_RNA from 1 species